rnacentral:lncRNA from 1 species
AAAACAGACUCUAAGACCCCUAAUACGUUCGGACUCUAAUGUGACAAAGGUCACACCUAACGUGAAUACACAGAAGCAAUUCAAUAUUUAAAGUCUACUCCUAUGUCUAGCUAUGCUAAAAUUAAAAUAAAGCAAUCAAGAAAGGUUGCCAAGAAUGGAAAGAGCACCAAGGACUCUUCGAAACUUGGACUUUAUAAGAGGCCCUUAUAAAACCAAAAAAAAAUAAAAAAAAAAACUAACAGUGACAUUGGGCUGACACAAGCCCAUCAAAUACACAGCAAAAUAAAAAAAAUUACAAAAACAUUCAUUCCUAUGCUACGGCCCAAAUCUUGUUGCUAC